CUUGAAAAAAAUAGUUAAACUCCGUUUGUAUUAUUUUGUAACUUUUUUACAAAUAUAAAAGAGUGAUUUAAAAUAGAAGAAAAAUAAUAUUUGAAUCACAAGUAAUAAGAAAUUUUAAUUAUGUAAAUAGGCACCUACGUAAAUACGAUAAUUAUCGAUACUGAAGGUGGUGAAUCAAUCAGUCACGCACACAAUUAAAAAUUAAUGUCGAUUAUAAAGAACAUGCCUUUAAAAUAAUUGUACAUACCAAUUUGCUCAGUAUACGUAUGUAGAUAUAUUGUCACCAUAGUAAAUACCAAUAUAAUACUAACAUUUGCCAAUUUCUGCUUGAGUAAGGAAGUUUACAACAGGCAGACAAAAUUGACAUUAAGAAAUGAAAAAUUGCUUGUGCACAAUAUUCUGUAAAAACAGUCCCGCAUAUUAUUUUAAUGGGAGUAUAAAACCUAUGAAUACGAGGGCGAAUCAUACUCUUCCAUUAACAAAAAUAAUUAAUAACUUAUAAGUAACUCUUUUUCAAACUAUAAAAAUAUACAGAAGAAAAAUCUUAGUUGCGUCCUUCUGCAAUGACCUCCAAGUGUUUGAUAUUUCUUCGUGUUAUUAUAUUUACGUGUGUUUUCGUCAACACAUAUCUGCUCGAUGGUUUUAACGUUUACGGUACAGGAUUGCGAAGUGCCUUCGAUUCAGGGGAAGUAAAGUCGGUCGUUGCAUUAGAUUACUUAGGAUGGAGUGGUGUAGGAGUUAAGACAAGGAAUAAGAAGCGACGUCGGCAUCGUUUGAUGAUGGCGAAAAAAUAUUUAAAAUUAAUUCAUAAUUGAAAUAAAUAAAUUUUAAUCAAUGCUUCUAUGAUUGUUUAUUGGGAAAUUGGUCGUACUUGAGAUUUGAGCCAAUUUAGUUUACAUCGCCGGCCCAGGUGGGCCGGAAGGAUUUGAUAUGAAAUUGUUAUUUGAAAUUGAUAGAAUAGUCCAUAGUAGAAAAGUCCUGUCGUCGAUACUCUCAAAUGUGAAACAUUCUUUGGACGAAACGUCCGUAGGAGUAAGAUUCUGACGGCGAAUUAUUUAAAAACUAAUCGUCCUGUUUGUCAUUAUUGCAAAGGAGAAACAACUGUCGAAGAAAGCUGAUAUAAAGCUGAAAUAAUUACUGAGAUAAAAUUAGCUAUUUGCCAUCUAAAACCCAAUUUGAUAAGCAUGAAUAUAUUCACAUAAUUAAUUAAAAGUUCUUUUUGUAUAAUGGCAAUGUUCUGGUAUAGAAAGCAGUACUAUUUUCAGAAUGUCUACCCAUUGAAUUAGCUAUUAUUCACUAAAUAGUAAAACACCAUCUGUGCUAAAAAAAACUUGUUGAUCAAGACAGUAUACUAAAUGUCGACUUGCAGUCAAGAUUCAAGAUAAACGAGCCCUUUACAAUACUAGUUAAACGAAAGAAGAUUGCUAUGUCAUCUGCAGGGCAAGUCGUCGUUAUCAAUUAUAAUACUGGAAGUUUAAGAUAGACACGUUUUUCGUUACGAUCUUCGCAACGAAUUAAAUACUAUUCUUGAAAUCAAAUGUCUGCAAUGAACUUCUAUUUAUUUUUUCUUUACACUUUGCUAUUCACAUUUGUUUUCGUAAAAGCGAACAUAGACGAUGUUGACUGAUAUGACUGCACCGUUGAUUCAGUUGUCGGGUACGAUUACUUAGAUAUGCUUGGUUUUCAGCAAAUGCAAUUUAAAGUAUUGCACACUUCAGCAAAUAAAUAUAGGUUAUCUUCUAAAGAACUGUACAAUAAAGACUGUAUGGAAUACAAGUUGCCAAAAAGUGCGUAUCCUUUUUAUUUUUUAUACAUGCUGCUUACUAGAUUGUAAUAUUUAAUUCUUUCCAGAUUCAAUAAAUAAUUAAGUUGUGUCUAUUAUAUUAAACUUUUCUGCUCUUGUUUUAAUACGUAAUUCUAUCCCAUUUUUAUAUUCUUUGUCGAUGAUCCAGUGAACAGUUCAGUGGUUCAGUGUGAAAAGUAGAGUGAAUGCGCCCAUUUCAGUAAAUUAACCGUCACUUGAGAACUCUAGAAAAUUUUAGCAGUAGCCUUUAGUGAUAAUUGUCACUUGUGGGCAUUUAAAAAGAAACAAAUUAAUAAACUUACAUUUAACAUAUGUUAUGAAUCGAGCUUUAGUUUUAUCAUUUGAUAUUGAAGAGAAAGAAAGUCACUGGCAACCAGCAUUAAAUUCCUUUAUAUGCAGCUUUUUCUUAUUAAUAUAAAUAAAUAAUUAAUUAAAUAGAGUAAAUACUAUAGAUAAGAAAUAAAUUUGCCUGUGUUAGAGUUAGCGACUGCAUCUAAAAUAUGCUACAAACAAUGCUGCAAUCCUAUAAUGAGAAAAUAAUAAUUAAUAUCAAUUUAAAAAAAUAUCUUUGAAUGUGAAUAUUUUAAGUAUUUUUCGACCCUACGCUAAUAAUAUUUUUUUGUACAUACUUAUUACAUAUUACCCUUGCUUGCAUACUUAUAUUUAUGAAAUGCGUAGAAAAUCCAAUUUUCAGUGUGUGUUAACGAAAACAAGAUUUCUUAAUUGAUUGCUGUUUUUUUGAAAUAAAUCGAUUGCAUCGAUAAAUGAAACAUAAAUGGUGUGGCUGCAUUGAUAGCAGCCAGGCAGAUAGGACAUAAUAUAUUCUUUAUUUGAACCCAAGAAUAUCUAAAAUUAAACAGUGUUUUAAAAUAUUAAUAUACCUAUAUAUUUUUUUAUUUAUUCCAAAAGAUAAGGAUUUUAAAUUGUUCAGUACUAUUUUGGUGGUUUAUUGAAAUUAAAGGUAGAGGAAAUUUCAUUUACUACCUUCUGCAAUGACCUCCACGAUGUUGUUCAUAAUAAUUGCUGCUCUGCUUUUGGUAAUCGUCAACACAAGAAAAAAUUCGCAUCACUCAAAAAUAUUUGAUUUCGAUGAAGCAAAUUAUACUAAAAUAUUACCACUGUUCUCUUAUUACUAUUACAACGGUGGUUAUGAUUAAAAUAUAGCAUUGAAAGUAAAAAAAUACAUAAAAUAUUUUUUUAUUAGUAUUAAUAUUGUUAAAUUAGUAAACAUAUAUAGAACAAUUUAAUUCGAUUAUGUGAAAUAAUAAAUAUCGAGUGGAGAAAUUUUAUACAUUUGUGGAUAAAUAAAGCUUUUCUUUAUAGAAUACCAACUGCCCGACCCAGCUUCGCUCGGAUAAAACUCUAACAAAUUAGAAACAUAAACCUUCCUAUUAAAUAACUCUAUUAAAAAUCCGUAUCAAAAUUGUUGCCGUUGCGUAAUUUUAAAGAUCUCAGCAUGCAUAGGGACAGACGAAGAGCGCGAAGCGACUUUUUUUUAUACUAUCUCUAGUGUAAUGAUGAUUAGUUUUGUUUCUAUUUAUUUGCACCAACCCACUUGAAAUUGAAAUCUGUUGAGUGAAUUCCUAGUAGGCCCCGGCUGAUCGUUACCUCUCAUGCGGAGACAAAUUCCAGGACCUUUUCUCUUCUUAUAAUUUUGUACUCUUGAUAAAUAUUGUAGUUUUCUUAGACUACACUACUUGCUUCCGAAUCUGGUGAAGGAGUACAGUGAGGAAACUGGUAGUUUAGAAAAAGAUUUAUUAGCUACUAAAACUAAACUUGAGUGUUUUUCCACGUAAUUACUAAAACCUUUACCGUGAGGAAUACGAUGAAGAAAAAUAAAUGGCUUUUCUCUCAUGAUCUGAUCUGGCAGUUUUGAUGUCGUCAUAAAGUCAUGGCGACUGCUUAAUGGGCAAGAAACAGGACUUUGGGGGAACGUCUGGGGGAAGGUCGUCAGGAAAAUCGAAAGAUACUGUUGAUGGCCACCUGUCACAUGUACAAUAGUGAUGGAAAAAUCAAGUGAAGAAAUAACAGUCAAUGAUGACGAGUUUGGAUACGACUUUGAUUAUAACUUUUACUAUAUAUACGAUUACGACUACUAUGGUUCCGCUAUGAUAAAAGGGCUACCUUCUUCUUAUAAGGGGCUACCAACUCACUUACUACCGAUAUAUAAAGAAAAUUGGAAAAGAUAUAAUGCAGAUUGCUUAUCGCGAAAAUUACCGGCUAGUGCUUGCCCAUUCUUAAAAUUUAUAUAUAAAUUAAAAUUCUAAAAACUAAAUACAUGGUAUUAUACGAAUCUGAAUAAAAUAGUAUAAUAUUUAUUAUGGCAGGUAAGUUUGGUAUCGUAAAUAUAUAAUAGUGUAGUAAUUAUCUAAAUUAAAAACCUACCAAUAUUCUUCUGGUAUCUCCAUUAAUAUUCUUGUUUGCUAUUUGAGUUAAAUUUUAUUUACAAAAUAAUAACCUAAUAAUUGUUUGUAUAAUUUCAGAUAAUUUCACGUACCUUUGGAAGCUAAACAAUGGACUUUUCUGAUAGUGGACUGGUAACCAUCACAAAAUGUGGAUUUUUUUAAAAUCUAACUAGACGUAGAUAUAUUUUAGUUACGUUACAUAAAAUGUAACAUAAUAUAAUUAAAGGGAAUUAUUAUAAAUCACUUUUAACAUAACCUCUAACUAUGAUUUUAUUAAAAUUAUCUCACUCAAAUCAAAACGUUUUUAUUUAUGUUUGAGAUGAGAUUGAUUCCAAUAGUAAGUCUGGAUAGUAUUGACAUUUAUCAUUAUUAAGUUGUGUAUAUAUACUACAUAAUUACUAAGGUCAUACCAUUUCUGGUUUAUCGAAUAAGACUGAACCUCAACACACAUUCAAAGUCGUUGGUGCCCACAAAAGCAUGAAUUAACAACUAAUUAUGGUGUAUGUAAAUGCGAGUAUUCAUUCCCAAAUUAUGAAAUUCUUCACCACCACGUAUAGAAUGAUUAUGUAAUAGAGCGGUCAAAGAGGGACCGAUGAUCCUAACUCAUAAAUUGAAGCAAGUUUGUUUAUUUAGUUAUUACUCUAUCUAUAGAGUAUGAACGGGCAACAAGCAAACGUUGAGUAGACUCAACUAAUCUUCAUGAAAUUUUGCAUACAUGUAGUUUGAAGUAUGGAGUAGGACAUAGGGUACUUUUCAUCCCGAAAAAAUAACGCGGGCGAAGCCGCAGGCAAAAGCUAGUUACCAACAAAAAGAACGAGGUUCUUGUCGAUGGAGUAUUCUCCGUUCUAUUUUGUUCUUCUCCAUAGAAUUUUCCUUACUUUACGAAUAGAUUAUAUUAUAUUAAAAUUAUGUUUAUGUAAUGAAUAAUAAUAACCCAAAUUAUAAGAUCCUGAAUAACUUUAAUUUAAAAAGUAGAAUAAAAAAAACUUAUUUUCAACACAAUUGGCCUUAUCAUUUCAAAGUCAUUUUCAAUCAUCAAUGGAAUUGUAUACUAAAUUUCAUAAAAUUCUGAACAGGCUUUACGUGGUUAAAAACAUUGUCACCCACAUCUAAAUGUUCGCAUUAUAAUAUUAAAUGAUAGAAUUUAUGUACCUAUGUAUAUAAUUUUAAGACCUAUCAUAGUACCUACACCUAAUGGCAAAUAAAAAAUAUUAAUAUUAUUGAGAUUCUGCACGUUUAAGCGUGCUCUAUAUAUGCUUUUCACACUCUAAGUAGUCCGGUUUCCUUUUGGACACUAUCUUUCACAUUCAUCUUUUGAACUUGGAAUACUAUUAAUAUAUGUCAUGGUACAAUUUUGUUUAAGUAACGGUUUAGUUUUAAUAAAAAAUGUUACUUAUCUUUUACUCGUAAUGUAUUUACUCUAUUUAGAUAUAAUACAAAUUGUUACUAUCGAGAAUUAAAGAAGUAUGUAUUUAUGUAAUAUGGUACAAAUUUAUUUCGAAAUAAUACGAUCCGUUCAGGGUAUUUUUGAUUCGAUAUUUACUAAACACUCUGUGUGCGAGGCCGACUCGCAUUUAAACGGUUUUUUUAUUAACUAUUUUCCAAAUUAUAUAAUUUUCUCAACCAAUUAUAAGCUAUGUUAGUAAUUAUUGUUAACAAUAUUGUAUAUAGGAAAAUAUAUAUUUUUUAAUUUGCAAAUUUAAGUUCUGCAAGCAUUAACUUAUUUUAAAACCGCGGAAAACAAUAACAUUUACUUUUGCUAUCUUCACACAAAGAUCCUAUUUCUUUUAAAUAAUUCAGCCUUUUUAUCAAUGUCGUUUAAGUGCUUCUUCAUAGUUGUAACGCUGAUCGAAUUGGUCAAUAACGUAGUUUUCGACUAUGACUAUUACGAUAAACCGAGUUAUAAAGGUACCUCGUGACUUAUUUAAUAAAUACAAGGAUAAUUGGAGUCAAUAUAAGAAAGAUUGCCUAACCCACAAACUGCCCGCCUCCGCUUGUCCAUUUUUCAAAAUACAUGGCACGGAUAUUGGCAGAUAUCCUUUGAAUCAAUUUUCGAGCUAUCCGUGUACAGUCGGCUGCAAAAGGCCAAAAGCAAACUGAGAACUGAAAGUGAGAACUAUGCGCAAGCACAUUUAAGUCAGAGUAUUAUGCUGAUGGUGUCAUUAUCCCAUAACCCAAUUGUAUGGUAUAUAAGUCAAGAUAUAAGUAAAGGAUCUUGAUGAAGAAGCCUGAUUUGUAUAUAUAAAGCAGAGAAGAAAAUGAAAGAUUUAUGUCUUCUAUGUCUAGUCUAUAUUAUAAUCUUAGUUAUUUGAAUUGAAUAUUAUAUGUGUUAUUUAUUUAUUUUUAGAAACACAAUUUAAUCUACGUGCUACUUAUACUUUUGAAGCGAAAUUAAAUGAAAAUAGUAAUUAAAAGUAUGUUUGUUUAAUGAUUUUUGAUGCCGAAGUUGCGGAUUUGCAUUUCACUUCUCACCAUCGAGUCGAUUCGCAACAAUUUCAUUUAAUUCAUGUAACCACUGGUGGUAUAUGAAAUCUAUCACACAUGAGUAAGAAUCGAAUCUAGAACCUAUCGAUCCUUUUCAUCACCAUCCACCACAUCUCCCUUAUAAUCACUAUUGAACUUAAUAACGUUUAAAAUCGAUUUUUAAUUAAUCAUGUGGACAAGGUUUUAUGAUUGCCUGUUUUUAUUUUCUAAUUUGCACGCAACAAGUGCGUAUUCGAGAACACUUUCAUUGCUAUUCUCCAUUGUACAACGCAUAUUCUUAUUUGCUAAUUAGUUAUAUAUUUAAUGAUGUCAAUAUUUUUAUUGAUAGCUUUCACACUAAUUACAGUGGUGGACAAUAAAAAAACGAGAGUUUAUGAUGACUACGACGACGAUGACUACGAAUAUGAUGAUGAUGAUUAUGACUACAUUUUCGAAUACAUUGAGAAUUACGACAUCUUCAUUGACUUAACUAGGACAAAACCGACUUAUAAAGGCCUACCUAGUGACAUGUUGUCUGUGUAUAAGGAAAAUUGGGAAAGAUAUAAUGCAGAUUGUUUAUCGCACAAAUUACCGGCCAGUGCUUGCCCGUUCUACAAAUACAAAAUACUACAUAAACCAACAUUCUAAAUAUAAAAUACAGAUGAUUUCACCUACCCCUUGGAAGCUAACUGCAACUUUUCUGAAGGAAAACAUAUUAUUCAAAAGAUGUGGGGUACGAACCAGAUCACUUGGCUACGAAAUAAGAUAAUCCAUUGACCACUGUGGCGGAGAUUUUUACACGACUGCCUAAAAGAAAGAGGGUUAAGUUUUCAAGAUUCACGUUUGUGAGUUUCUUUGUUCGACCAUAAUUUUUAAAUGCCAUAAGAAAACGUUAGCGAAAAAUACAAUUAUGACUUAUAAAAUCGAAUGGUGUAUCAAUUCUGUGAGGGUGGCAACAGGCCGCACUCGACAGAGAUAUGUGGAAAAGGGAAGGGGAGGUCUUUGCCCAGCAGUGGGUUAUUUAAAGUUGUUUAUUUCAAAUACAUAAUUUAAUGUGGUAUAGUAUCAUACAAGGUAAAUUAAAUAAAAAAGACACAUAAACAUUUUUAUAACUUUUAUUUAUGUCUGUAUAUGGUUAGAUUGGCGAUAUUUCUUAUGUUUUUUAUAAUUAGGACCUACGUAUACUUUUUUCGAUAAUAAUAAUGUUUUUUUGGGUUGACGCUUGUCAAUGGGGUUCUUUAAAGGCACAAAGCCUGCCGAUGUUAUAUAAUCCAAGCCGAAUUCUUCAUUGCUCGUUACUACAAUAAAAAACAAUAUAAAUAUACAUAAAAUUGGGAUUAAAUUCUUCGAAAUCAUUUCUCUCUAGGGAUAAAUUUGGUUACAAUCCUUUUUCUUCAAUUUAUUAAUAGUUCUUAUUCAGAUUUCAAAGGAUUUCUUAUAGUUCCUUUAAAUAUAUCCAUAAUGCACUGUAGUAUUGAUUUUUGCGACGUUGACACUAUUGGUUAAAACACAAUCAGUGUAAAUAAGUAUAUAAUCGUAUAUUUCUACAAUAUAAUUAAGCCUAUAAUUGUCAUUUGAUAAGGGAACAAAUAUUUAGUUGUUCAAUAUCAAUAACAUAAUUGAAUGUUGUUUUCCUCAUACUAAAUUAUCAAAUUUUGUUAAAUAAAAUAAUAACUCGUCUUGUGAA